GUAAAGACGGCGGUGAACCAGAGCUCCUCUUAGUUUGCGUUAGAUAUGCCAGAGGAGUAUUUGCAUUGAAUUGAAAUGGAGCAAAGAUUGAUGCUGCGGGUUAUCAUAAAUGAUGACGACAUACAGAAGAUAAUCUUAAAUGAGAGACCCGAUUCUAUUGAGGAACUAAAGACACAGCUGAGGGAUAAGCUGUCAUUGCAGGAUGACUUCAGAUUACAAUACGAAGAUCCAGACUUCAGUAAUGCGCUCUGCAAUUUGACUCAAAUAGCAGAUUUGCCUGAAAGAGCUACUCUGAAAUUAAUCCCACUUGUGACUCUUGAGUUGACAUCCCAGUCUUCACCCACCGAGGAGUCAGACUGCAGCACAGUGGAUACUGAGAUCUUGUCACCUGCUGGGUCAACAUCCUCACUAAGAAAACAGUGGCCCGAGUUCUUCGACAUACCUAAUUUCUCAGUGGAUGUAGCAUACAGACUGAGACAGGCAGAUCUCUUGUUCAUAAGAGAUCGUGUCCCAUUCACUCCAUCACGAGACAUGAAACAUGACAUACUUGAGAAGCUUGCUGAAACAAUGUACAGUUUCAAGGCCUACCCUGAUGAUGAUGACUUCAGCAGUGUUGCAAAAUCACUGGUUAGCAAGCACCCCAGCCUCACUGAACCUGGUCCCCAGCCAGGAUGGUACAGCUGGAAGAACAGCCUAAAAUUCAAGAUGGCCAACUAUCGUACAAAACUGCGUAACGCAGGAUGUGAUGAUGUAAUGAUCAAUGGGGGUAAACGAAGUAAACGCAACCCAGAGGGACAAUCAUCCAGCAAGAAUAUCAAGCGGCCGAAAAGAGGUGAAGCCAAUUAUUUGCCUAACUUACCUGAUAGACAUGAUGAAAACAGCCUUGAAAAUGCCAGGAAGGUCAUCAAAGAGGAAAUGAAGAAAAGACACCCCGAUGCCACUCUUGUCUCAAAACUGAUGGACGAAACAUUCUCACUGCGCAGAAGGGAGAUAGUGGUACAAGAGCCAACUGUGCAGAGCAUGAUGGAACGAUGGCCAGCACUUUUCAUGGAGAGACAGGUAGGUGACUUGUUUGUUUUCGAAAACUAGACUUUUUUUUUUUUUUUUUUGAAAACUAGGAAAAUAAAACUGAAAAAAUACAAGAAAUAGUCUGAAUAUUUAAUUUAAUAUUUAUUUUUUCUCCAGUUGAUUUAAUAUAUUCAAGAAACUAAUAUGUUAUUAGUUAGACGUUUCAAAGAUUUAUGAGAGAAAAUGAUACAAGAAAAAACUAUGAACAGUACAAUUUAUUUUUUGAACAUUUUUUUUUAAGUUGGGGGUUUUUUAAGUCAAGGAAAUCCACUGUUCAAAAGUUGAGCUUUAAAAAGUUCAAUAUAUGCAUGAUGUUUCUAAUUAUGAUUUUUGCCAUGAUCAAGCAACUCUAAUUCACCCUAGCUUCAAACAUCAAUAUGUCAAUCAAUUAAAUGGUGGUCAGCUUAAAGGUGUAAAAUUCUCCCCUUAGGUGGCAGCAUUUCACUUGAUUCAAUGGAGGGAUAGCAUUAGGUGCUUGCCAGCGUGCCGGCGUCGCCGCCAUAUUGGAGAGGAGUCAAUCAAGCCGAGCCACCGGACCGCAGUUCAUGUGGUGCUGGCUAAAGGUGCCACAGGUGUUUAAAGUUGUGAUUUUGUAACAAAGCAAACCGUGAGGAAAUCUGGUUUAAAAAAAAAAAAAUCGGGAAGUUAUGAUUAAUAUAACCUAGUUGUGCACUAUACCCCUCACCAAGAUGGCGGCACUGGUAAUGUCUGCGCCCUGUGGUCGCUCCACCACCAUGUAUGUUUAUAUUGUUUUUUUUAUGGGUAAAAGUAAUGGCAAUGAAGGUUUUAUUUCAAAGAUUGGGUAUGAUUUUAUUAAUUUUAAUCAAUAAUUAGAUCGUUUUUUUUUUUUUUUUUUUUUUUUUUUUGCAAGAACUGUACAAAAUCUUACACUUGUGUAGAAAUAUUACACACUGUACCUUUAAUGUUGUUUUCCCUCUGCCUACUUCCACUCUCUGUUUUUCAGGUCUUUGCUGAGUUUAAUCGCAUCGCCAGCAAGAAUCUUGAAGGGGACUUUUAUGAAGCUCUUGACAAGCACACGCCAUGCUUCAUCGAUCUUUUCAAGUCCAAAAAAGGAACUAUGGGACAAAAACUGACAGACUUGAUGCAGCACGUCAACUGGGUGUCGCCUGAUGUGACGGCACUUCGGACUGUUGUCCUCAAAGGCCUUCCAGUUCUCCUCAGUGAAGACUCCAGUGAAGUCUACAGGACUUGCCUACUUUUUUAGCAGGAUACAACGAAAGAAGCACUGGCCUCAGUCACAGUUGGGGUGCUGAUUGUGAUGGAAGAUGCUCAGCAGCAGGGUCCAAACGCAGUGCAUCUCCAGCCCAUCUCCACUGCCAUCAUACUUGAGGGAGAUGAUGCCAAAACUAUCAGGCAGAUUUUCAGGCAGAAGACUUGGUGGAAAAGCUGAGCAUGAACAAAGGGAUAACCCAUUUCAUUCUGUACAUUCUGAAGCAACUGUGGCUCGGAGGUGUGAGAGUGGGUAUAGGUGGUUGAGGCUCCCAUGUACCUUCUGGCAUGCUAUAGGCUGCAAAUGUAUUUGUUUCUGCUGUAAACCUGGGUACUUUAACAUGGGGUUCCACGUGGAGUGACUUGCUUUUGGAGCCCACCAUAAGUUGUCAUUCAUGGAACUGACACAUCAAGAUUUGACACUUCUGCAUUGGCUUAAUUUUUCAACACUGGAUGUUGCAGCCUGCACAAGGGAGAGGAAUUAUACAGUCAGACUGCCACAGGUAGGAAAGACCUCCUGUCGUGUUCU